UGGGGUGAACCUGCGGAGGGAUCAUUACCGAGUCUAAACAACUCAUCAACCCUGUGAACAUACCUAAAACGUUGCUUCGGCGGGAACAGACGGCCCCGUGAAACGGGCCGCCCCCGCCAGAGGACCCCCUAACUCUGUUGCUAUAUGUAUCUUCUGAGUAAACAAGCAAAUAAAUUAAAACUUUCAACAACGGAUCUCUUGGCUCUGGCAUCGAUGAAGAACGCAGCGAAAUGCGAUAAGUAAUGUGAAUUGCAGAAUUCAGUGAAUCAUCGAAUCUUUGAACGCACAUUGCGCCCGCCAGUAUUCUGGCGGGCAUGCCUGUUCGAGCGUCAUUACAACCCUCAGGCCCCCGGGCCUGGCGUUGGGGAUCGGCGAGGCGCCCCCCGCGGGCACGCGCCGUCCCCCAAAUACAGUGGCGGUCCCGCCGCAGCUUCCAUUGCGUAGUAGCUAACACCUCGCAACUGGAGAGCGGCGCGGCCAUGCCGUAAAACACCCAACUUCUGAAUGUUGACCUCGAAUCAGGUAGGAAUACCCGCUGAACUUAAGCAUAUCAAUAAG
rnacentral:rRNA from 1 species